UUACGGUCAUAUCAAGUUGAAACACCGGUUCCCGUACGAUCACCGAAGUUAAGCAACGCCGAGCCUGGUCAGUAGCUACAUAGGUAACCAAUUAGGAAUACCAGAUUGU